UACGUAGGGUGCAAGCGUUGUCCGGAAUUAUUGGGCGUAAAGAGCUCGUAGGCGGUCUGUCGCGUCUGCUGUGAAAACUCAGGGCUUAACCCUGAGCUUGCAGUGGGUACGGGCAGACUAGAGUGCGGUAGGGGAGACUGGAAUUCCUGGUGUAGCGGUGAAAUGCGCAGAUAUCUGGAGGAACACCGGUGGCGAAGGCGGCAUCCUGGACCGGUAUUGACGCUGAGGCGCGAAAGCCAGGGGAGCAAACGGG
rnacentral:rRNA from 1 species